GAUGAACGCUGGCGGCGUGCCUAAUACAUGCAAGUCGAGCGAACAGACGAGUAGCUUUCUCCUCUGACGUUAGCGGCGGACGGGUGAGUAACACGUGGAUAACCUACCUAUAAGACUGGGAUAACUUCGGGAAACCGGUGCUAAUACCGGAUAAUAUAUUGAACCGCAUGGUUCAAUAGUGAAAGACGGUUUUGCUGUUACUUAUAUAUGGAUCCGCGCCGCAUUAGCUAGUUGGUAAGGUAACGGCUUACCAAGGCAACGAUGCGUAGCCGACCUGCGAGGCGGAUCGGCCAAACUGGAACUGAGACACGUCCCAGACUCGUACGGGAGGCAGCAGUAGGGAAUGUUCCGCAAGGGGCGAAAGCCUGACGGAGCAACGCCGCGUGAGUGAUGAAGGUCUUCGGAUCGUAAAACUCUGUUAUUAGGGAAGAACAAAAGUGUAAGUAACUAUGCACGUCUUGACGGUACCUAAUCAGAAAGCCACGGCUAACUACGUG
rnacentral:rRNA from 1 species